UCAGACGAUGCGUCAUGCAUAUCAAUAAGCGGAGGAAAAGAAACUAACAAGGAUUCCCCUAGUAACGGCGAGUGAAGCGGGAAGAGCUCAAAUUUGAAAUCUUAAAGGGUUUCCCUUUACGAAUUGUAGUUUAAAGAAGUGUUUUCUGUUGAGGUAUUGGUAAAAGUUCUUUGGAAUAGGACAUCAUAGAGGGGUCGAGAAUCCCGUAUUUGACCUUUACUUUCAACUUUGUGAUACACUUUCAAAGAGUCGGAUUGUUUGGGAAUGCAGUCCAAAAUGGGUGGUAAAUUUCAUCUAAAGCUAAAUAUUGGCGAGAGACCGAUAGCGAACAAGUACCGUGAGGGAAAGAUGAAAAGAACUUUGAAAAGAGAGUUAAACAGUACGUGAAAUUGUCAAAAGGGAAGCGUUUGACACCAGUGUUGUUUUUCUGAAAAUCAAUUAAAGAACUGUUUAUGCUAAGUUGUUUAGACUUUAUCAGCUAACUGUUUAGUUUUGAGCUUUUCUUUAAUGCACUUUUCAGUUAACAAGUCAACAUCAAUUUCUUUUGCUGUAAAAAAGCUUGAGGAAGGUGGCUUGAGAUUCGUCUUAAGUGUUUAUAGCCUCUUGCCUAUGCAGUCGGAGAGAUUGAGGUCUGCAGCGUAGAUCCUUCGGGGCUAAAUGCAUUUGUGCUAAGUUAUAGCAUUUUAUAGACAACUUGUUGACUAUGAUUUGUCUUGUAGCUUACUCGCUUAUGUUAUUUUACCUACGCUUAGGAUGUUGAGCGCAUGUCUCUCUCU
rnacentral:rRNA from 1 species